AUCUCUUAAUUUAUUUAAUAUUCCAAUUACAACAGCUGCUAAAUAAGAUAGUUCAAAUAUGGGAUAUGAAUCAUUUCUGAUCAUCAUGGUCGUGAGUAUGAGUAUGAUUUGAUAUGCAGGCCAUAAUGCGAGCGGCAAUUAUGGCAUAUGAUCUUGACUUUGACUUUGGGUACCCAGUGAGUGCACGACACGUAUUGUAUUGCACCGCUCUCUAAGUUCUUUUGUAAAGCUUCAAUUCCAGUCAAAAUAAAACUGUCUAAUUAAACUUUUAUUUAAUACAAUGGCGAAUAUUGAAAUUUUCUCUGCAAGUAUUCUCUUCAAAUUAAAGAUUAUAAGAUGGAGAAUAAAACAUUUUUAAAUUUUAGUAGGACUAUUUCAUUCAUAAUAAUUUAAAUCUUCGUGGCCUUUCUGUAUUAAGAGAUUUACAUUGAUAUAAUAUAAUCAUAAGGUGAGAGUAAACUUUGAAAAUAAUAAUAUGACCAAAAUAAAAUAUCAAGUGACAUAUAUGUUAUGUUGUCCGUGGAGUAUAUUUUAUUUGGACCUUUAAUUUUUCUUGGAUUAUUAUUUUAUGCUUCAUAUUUGUUUUUAGCUGCAUUGAGUUUGAUAUGCUGCAAAGUGUGACUCUAUAUGUAUGCCAAAAACUAGAAAACAAAUUGAAAGCAACUAAAAUUAAUAUUUCCAUGUAUAAUUAAUAUAACAACUUGCAAAUGCAUCCAACAUAUUUGACUUUGAUUGUUUCCUUAUAAAGACUUUCUCACUUUCUCUCAUUUUCAAAUGUAUGUCAUAAUAGGAAAAUUUGCAGGGUAGUCCAGAAAUUUAUUACUAAUUUAUUUAAAAAAUUUUAAAAAAAAGUUUGUGGAUGUCUGUUAAUUGGCUUGGAUAGCCUACCAUCGUACUUACGGACAUUAUUAUCCCUGUGCUCUCUUUUAGCUAUAAAAAGUACGAAAAAAUUAAGUUUUGAGACACAAUUUUGGUUUCAUAAUAAUUUUCCUCAAAAAGAGUGUAUCGGGUGUAUAGGUUUAUUUGUAGAUUUGUUUAAUAAAUUAGUUUGAUGGGUAAAAAUUUAUUUAGUCCUUAUAUUUUAAGAUUAGUAUCCAUUUAGUACCUGUAUUUUUUAAAAUACCUCGAAACAUCUCUAUCGUUAAAGUAUUGAUACACUUACAGUUAUUUUUUAUUUCUUUUGGCUUACUUUUACAAUAUUACCCUUUUAUA
rnacentral:lncRNA from 1 species